CCUACGGGAGGCAGCAGUGAGGAAUAUUGGUCAAUGGGCGGAAGCCUGAACCAGCCAAGUCGCGUGAGGGAUUAAGGCCCUGCGGGUCGUAAACCUCUUUUGCCGGGGAGCAGUGGUCCGGACGCGUCCGGACCGGGAGAGUACCCGGAGAAAAAGCAUCGGCUAACUCCGUGCCAGCAGCCGCGGUAAUACGUAGGGGGCAAGCGUUAUCCGGAAUUACUGGGUGUAAAGGGAGCGUAGACGGUAAUGCAAGUCUGGAGUGAAAGGCGGGGGCCCAACCCCCGGACUACUCUGGAAACUGUGUAACUGGAGUGCAGGAGAGGCAGGCGGAAUUCCUAGUGUAGCGGUGAAAUGCGUAGAUAUUAGGAGGAACACCAGUGGCGAAGGCGGCCUGCUGGACUGUAACUGACGUUGAGGCUCGAAAGCGUGGGGAGCAAACAGGAUUAGAUACCCCUGUAGUC
rnacentral:rRNA from 1 species